rnacentral:rRNA from 1 species
UACGAAGGGGGGCUAGCGUUGUUCGGAAUUACUGGGCGUAAAGCGUGCGCAGGCGGCUUCUCAAGUCGGGGGUGAAAUCCUGGAGCUCAACUCCAGAACUGCCUUCGAUACUGGCGAUCUCGAGUCCGGAAGAGGUGAGUGGAACUCCUAGUGUAGAGGUGGAAUUCGUAGAUAUUAGGAAGAACACCAGUGGCGAAGGCGGCUCACUGGUCCGGUACUGACGCUGAGGUGCGAAAGCGUGGGGAGCAAACAGGG